CCGAAAAGAAGUCGUCUCGCAAAAAGAAGUCCUUCUUGAUCAUAUUGUUUUGUCCGCUGCGCUUCAUCACUUUCUCCAUCCUUGGAAG